GAUGAACGCUGGCGGCGUGCCUAAUACAUGCAAGUCGAGCGAACGGACGAGAAGCUUGCUUCUCUGAUGUUAGCGGCGGACGGGUGAGUAACACGUGGAUAACCUACCUAUAAGACUGGGAUAACUUCGGGAAACCGGAGCUAAUACCGGAUAAUAUUUUGAACCGCAUGGUUCAAAAGUGAAAGACGGUCUUGCUGUCACUUAUAGAUGGAUCCGCGCUGCAUUAGCUAGUUGGUAAGGUAACGGCUUACCAAGGCAACGAUGCAUAGCCGACCUGAGAGGGUGAUCGGCCACACUGGAACUGAGACACGGUCCAGACUCCUACGGGAGGCAGCAGUAGGGAAUCUUCCGCAAUGGGCGAAAGCCUGACGGAGCAACGCCGCGUGAGUGGUGAAGGUCUUCGGAUCGUAAAACUCUGUUAUUAGGGAAGAACAUAUGAGUAAGUAACUGUGCACAUCUUGACGGUACCUAAUCAGAAAGCCACGGCUAACUACGUG
rnacentral:rRNA from 1 species